ensembl:rRNA 5S_rRNA 5S ribosomal RNA
GCCAAUGGCAGUACCAUACAAAAUGCACCUGACCUCUUAUGAUCUCAGAAGUUAAGCAGGAUUAGGACUGGUUAGUACUUGGAUGAUGGGGAACCACCUGGGAAUACUGGGUGCUGUAGGCU